rnacentral:rRNA from 1 species
AUUGAACGCUGGCGGCAUGCCUAACACAUGCAAGUCGACCGAGUGGCGGACGGGUGAGUCAUGUCUGGGAAACUUCCCGAUGGAGGGCGAUAACUGCUGGCAACGGUUGCUACUACCGCAUACCAUCGGAUAUGCCUACGUGGGAUUAGCUAGUUGGUGGGGUAACGGCUCACCUAGGCGAGGAUACCGAGCUGGACUGAGAGGAUGACCAGCCACACUGGGAGGGAGACAGGGUCCAGACGCAGAGGGAAAGCAGCAUUGGGGAAUAUGGCAGAAGGGGCGCAAGACGGAGGCAGACAGGCCGAGAGUAUGAAGAAGGCAUUCGGGGUGUAAGGUAAUUUUAGCGAGGAGGCGUUACUAGCAGAAGAAGCGACGGCUAACUACGUGCCAGCAGCCGCGGUAAUAC